GCCUGUGAGCACGAGGUAGCUUAUAGAUUAUAGAAUAUAGGUGAGGAUAGCUGGGAUAGCGAGCAACGUAACCAUAGCAAUGAGUGACUGAAGAGGGAGAGGGCGAGAAAGAGUGAACCAGGGGUGAAGGAAACGUGGGAUGAGACAGUGCAGAGCUGGUACCAGAUGAACGAACCGGUAAAUGAGGGAGAGACGAAGAAAGAGAAGCAAGAAUACGAAAGAGAGGGAAAGAGGGGACGAGACACAUCCAUUGAUUUUCAGUGCCAUCUUGUCGUCGUUUCCAGAGGAAAUACCACAGUGAUCCUGGCUGAUCUUGGUAGUACCGGGUCGUUGGCUGAUUUGAUCCUGAUAGUUUCACGACUUUAAAUAGGAUCAGCUGGCUCUUCCAUUCACUGCAGCAUGCAGAUUCGAGGGAUCUGAGCGUAGACAGGAUUAAAAAGAAGAUGAGAGUGUCGCAAGAAAAGAAACUGAGGGCCCCAGCCGGGCCUUAGCCGCGGCGUUGCUUUUGGCCCUAGCAGCGGCGUGUUUCUUCCGUCGUGGAAAUCUCGGUUAAUCAGCAGGCCAGGGUGUACAAGUAACGGUGGUAGCGUCACGUAAUUCUCUCUGAUCGCGGACAAGAGCUAAGGGACGCGGGCGGCAGCCGGUUGCUCGAUAGCAGCUUAUGACGCGUAAUCGGAUCAGCGAUAUCAAAUUAUUGCGAUUAUAGCCGCGGAUAGAAAGAAGUUUUUCGGCCCGCUUAAGAGAGCCCGAGACGACCGACUGGUGGGUCUCCUCAAAAUCAAAUGAUAAGCUUAAUUCAAUAACCGACGGAGAGGGUGCACGCCGGGGGUGUGGCCGCCGGUCGGUUACGGAGAAACGGGUUUGGUCACUGUCUGACGUUCUCUCGGCGCUGAUUCGUCGAUCCACGGUGCCACCCCUUGGCUGGAUGAGAGAACAGUCGCCGCCCUCCGAAUCUCUGUGUUCAUCCCCGUCGGUGUGCCACCCCCGGUUCGUCGGGCGACCUCUCCCUAACAGCCAUCAGCCCGAAUGAACGCUAUCAUUCGAUGAUGCCAGCCCUCUCCCCUGGUCUCGAUUUUACGAUCGAUUCCGGAGCAGGCCGUUUCCGCUGGACACCAGAGCCACGCUUCUCUUCAGCCAUCCUACGUAUGUUUACGCCUGGCUCCUUCUGCGGCUGUCUUGGUACAAUGAGUGCCUCGCUUCCUGGAUGAUAGUGCUGAUGUUAGGCAUCGUUAGUCUUUACAUGAAUUGAGCAUGAUGGAUUACCUUGGUGAGAGAUAGAGAAAUUACAUGACUAAACAUGACACGGGACCGACCUUAGAUAGGUGGUAGGAACCUGUGCGACACUUGUUUCGCACUUGUUCUCACGAAAGGGCCACGAUGAGAGCAGUCCUGGUGCACGACCCUCUUCCCCGUGUCUCGUCUCAGGGGAAUUCUCUUCCAGGGUACGCGAACGUAGUACGUCGUGCAACACCAAAUCGUCCAUAGUGUAUAUACUGAGAACACACAGGAACGAACUCGUCCAUUGGCGUAGACCUUGCCACAACUUCUCCAUGCUGCUCCAAUAGAAACUCGAACCUGCACGUACCUUAUAUAAGAGAUUAUGUUAGUAUAAGAUACAAUAAUAUGAAAUUUUUGUUGCACUGUUGCAUCUGUUUACGUUUAUGCGUUAUGAACACACCGACUUUAUCUUCUUAGUCGAUUAUUAUAAACUAGAUUUCUGUGAUAAUAUUUUUUCAAAUAGAGGUAAAUUUGAUUGGUAGAAAAUGUUACAAGAAAUUUACAAUGAUGCAAAUAAUUUUUAUAUAUAAUUUAAUUUUAUCGCAUAAUAAUGAACAAAUUUGUGUAAUUCAAAGC
rnacentral:misc_RNA from 1 species